rnacentral:rRNA from 1 species
UACAGAGGUCUCAAGCGUUGUUCGGAUUCAUUGGGCGUAAAGGGUGCGUAGGCGGCGCGGUAAGUCGGGUGUGAAAUCUCGGAGCUUAACUCCGAAACUGCAUUCGAUACUGCCGUGCUUGAGGACUGGAGAGGAGACUGGAAUUCCUGGUGUAGCGGUGAAAUGCGCAGAUAUCAGGAGGAACACCGGUGGCGAAGGCGGGUCUCUGGGCCGAUACUGACGCUGAGGAGCGAAAGCGUGGGGGAGCGAACAGG